rnacentral:rRNA from 1 species
AUUGAACGCUGGCGGCGUGCCUAAUACAUGCAAGUCGAACGGUCGACUUCGGUCGAUAGUGGCGAACGGGUGAGUAACGCGUUGGUGACCUGCCCCGAAGAGUGGGAUAACAGCCCGAAAGGGCUGCUAAGACCGCAUAAGCUAGCCAUGGUGUAAGAAGUGGUUAGGAAAAGGAGAAAUCCGCUUUGGGAGGGGCCUGCGCCCCAUCAGCUAGUUGGUAAGGUAACGGCUUACCAAGGCGAUGACGGGUAGGGGACCUGAGAGGGUGACCCCCCACAAUGGAACUGAGACACGGUCCAUACACCUACGGGUGGCAGCAGUAGGGAAUAUUGGUAAAUGGGCGAAAGCCUGAACCAGCAACGCCGCGUGUGCGAUGAAGGCCUUCGGGUUGUAAAGCACUUUUCACCGGGAAGAGGAAGGACGGUACCGGUGGAAUCAGCCUCGGCUAACUACGUGCCAGCAGCCGCCGUAAAAC